UACGUAGGGUCCGAGCGUUGUCCGGAAUUAUUGGGCGUAAAGAGCUCGUAGGCGGUGUGUCGCGUCGGAUGUGAAAGCCCGGGGCUUAACCCCGGGUCUGCAUUCGGUACGGGCAUGCUGGAGUUCGGUAGGGGAGACUGGAAUUCCUGGUGUAGCGGUGAAAUGCGCAGAUAUCAGGAGGAACACCGGUGGCGAAGGCGGGUCUCUGGGCCGUAACUGACGCUGAGGAGCGAAAGCAUGGGGAGCGAACAGG
rnacentral:rRNA from 1 species